rnacentral:rRNA from 1 species
GAAUUUUUCGCAAUGGGGGCAACCCUGACGAAGCAACGCCGCGUGGGUGAUGAAGUCUCUUGGGACGUAAAACCCUUUCGACGGGGAAGAAACCGCAAGGUUGACGGUACCCGUAGAAGAAGCCCCGGCUAACUCCGUGCCAGCAGCCGCGGUAAUACGGGGGGGGCAAGCGUUGUUCGGAAUUACUGGGCGUAAAGGGCUCGUAGGCGGCCAACUAAGUCGGAUGUGAAAUCCCCAGGCUCAACCUGGGAACUGCAUCCGAUACUGGAUGGCUUGAAUCCGGGAGAGGGAUGCAGAAUUCCAGGUGUAGCGGUGAAAUGCGUAGAUAUCUGGAGGAAUACCGGUGGCGAAGGCGGCAUCCUGGACCGGCAUUGACGCUGAGGAGCGAAAGCCAGGGGAGCAAACGGG